rnacentral:rRNA from 1 species
CCUACGGGGGCAGCAGUGGGGAAUAUUGGACAAUGGGCGAAAGCCUGAUCCAGCCAUGCCGCGUGUGUGAAGAAGGCCUUCGGGUUGUAAAGCACUUUCAGUGGGGAAGAAAGCCUUGGGGCUAAUACCCUCGAGGAAGGACAUCACCCACAGAAGAAGCACCGGCUAACUCCGUGCCAGCAGCCGCGGUAAUACGGAGGGUGCGAGCGUUAAUCGGAAUUACUGGGCGUAAAGCGCGCGUAGGCGGUCUGAUAAGCCGGUUGUGAAAGCCCCGGGCUCAACCUGGGAACGGCAUCCGGAACUGUCAGGCUAGAGUGCAGGAGAGGAAGGUAGAAUUCCCGGUGUAGCGGUGAAAUGCGUAGAGAUCGGGAGGAAUACCAGUGGCGAAGGCGGCCUUCUGGACUGACACUGACGCUGAGGUGCGAAAGCGUGGGUAGCAAACAGGAUUAGAUACCCGAGUAGU